CCUCAAUCCCUCUGUUACUGUGUCUAAUACCCCACUCCCUCUAACAUGUAAACUCACUGAGCAGGACCCUCAAUCCCUCUGUUAAUGUGUCACUAUACCCCACUCCCUCUAACAUAUAAACUCACUGAGCGGGGCCCUCAAUCCCUCUGUUAUUGUGUCACUAUACCCCACUCCCUCUAACAUGUAAACUCACUGAGCAGGGCCCUCAAUCCCUCUGUUACUGUGUCA